AAAACAGACAGGCGAUUCAGUUUGUCAGACAAGCGCUAGACACCGACAUGGAUACUCGUGCAAGAACACUGCAACAUAUUUGAGGCAAUCAUUGAAUAGACAAAUAGAAGCGGUUGAAAAUCCAACGUAAUCAACCGCAAUCAACACCCAAAGAGCCAAAAGCAAUAAAGAAAAAAAGAAAUGCAUAAUCAACAUUUUUAUCAUUAGCGAUAGAGAAAUAUGCAAAGCAGAGCGACGAACGAGCCAAGUAUUUCAAACUGGAGAAUGAGAAUAAGAAUGCAGCGGAAAAACUAGACGGUGCGGGAGAAAUGGGGAAAUAAAUGAAGCACAUUAUAAAUGCCAGAGUACAUGCUAACUACAACAAUUAUCCUUAAUGUUGCUAGCCAGCAACUGCCAUUAGAGAGAAAUGCGGGAGGGAAAUCGCCAUGUCCAUGGCUGAUCACUUGCUGGAAAGAAAUUCAAAUUAAAAUGCUUCCAAUGGUAUGCAAAAUAGUUUCAAUUUUCCGCCAGAGAGCCCUCCAGGAAUGCUCAUUAUUCAACUGGCGAAGUUUUGAAGCUGACAGGACACUGCGGACAAAAAAUGGGAAUUAAAUGUCAAGGAAUGCGCCGAACAGCUCGAAUCAAUAUCGCGCGAGUCAAAUUGCAGUUAAUUACGGACCAUGUUAGGACAAACGCCUGUUAACAAGGCGCCACGACACGCGAUCGACACCAUUACCAACACCCCAGAGUUAAGGAUACGGAAUAUGGAAUAGGGGUAGUACCACCGCCACCAUACUACCAUACUAUAUAUAAAGGCAUACAUCGUACAGCUACGGCCACCGCCUGUAAUCAAAGCCAGCUGCCAACUGCCGUCUGCAUUCCAUUUACCUUGCUCAGAGCACUUUUCAAUUAUGUUAUUAAAACAAGCAAACGGGCAGUUAAGGACCCUUUUGCAGGACCUGCCCAACAUUGCGUGUCAGCCCGUUCGUUUGUUGUUGUUAGUUUUUAUAUCCACUCUCUCAUAUCGUUAAAUAUAUAAUUCUGUUUUUUUUUUUUAGAAUUUCCUAACUCAUAAAUGCUGCAGCAAUAGUAAUGGCAGUGUGGCAAACAUGAAAAUUCAAUUAUGAAUGCCCGGCUUAAGGUUGACGCCCCGUAAUUUCCAACCCAAUAGCCCCGCACGCCGCUCAAGUCUGUGGCCCAAGGCAAUUUGCAUGGGUAAAUAUUGUAAAUCUAUGACGGGUUUGCAAUCAUUUGCAAUCGGCGACCGCAGACGGAAUGAGCGGAGCGAUUCGCCCAGACAUCGUCUAAUUAUGUCGAGUGGCAAACAAGAUACAGAUACAGCUACAGAUACAGCUACAGAUACACUCGUAUGUGCAGCCUGCAGAUGCAAAUAAAAAUAAAUAUUUACAUUCAAUUUCGACAAACGCGCCAGUAACCGAGCGCCAACUUUGCCAAAGGAAAAUUGUGCGUAAAAGCAGCGGGAGCAGUCGACGCAUAUUUGUUUACCUCAAGCAACAAACCCUGACUUAAACCAGAACCAGAACCUGAACGCAAACCUGAACUGUACUGAAAGAAAU